UGUUGUUCAGUAUUUGAUACAUCCCUCGAUGCACCAUCGGUCGCGGAUGCGGCACGUCGAUCGUCGUGGUGUCAGACUAAAAUUGUUUUGCCCGUGGAGCUAUUGUUUGGCCGUGGUUUUCCUCUAUGGUUUUACAUACAGACUCAUUAAGUUUUGAUUAGCAUUUACAGGAUAACUAGUUUAGCACUAAAAACCUUCGAAAGAAUGUCAAUUGCAUCCUGAAUUCAUGACGUGUAUCCUCGAGCUCGACCCACCAUAAUCGACGCAGCUAAUAACGCCGCCACAUGGCAUGGUGAACCCAAAUCAAAUGCGGGUGCAUAGAAAUAUGAUUGCGUCGUCUAAGGGGGUCUGACGAUGUCAUCAGAUAAGACUUGAAUGAUAUUAUUUGACCCCUGUAAAUUGGGAAUCAGCCAAAGCAGUCCUGUAUAUGGCGGUCGUGUGGAAAGGAUGCAACCGUGUGGGAUGGCCGUCACUACAAGCAGUCACUUCUUGAGACACCAAAUCCUGUCACACAAGGCCAAUGGAUGGUUGGUGUAUUUUCACUGAGUUUGAAAGUGGUAGGAUUCUUAGGAAUCUUGUGCCAGAUAUGAAGCGGAAGCCACAAUGAAGCCGGGGUUUCAUAAACACCACAUAAAGUUGACACCUGUCAGUCGGUUUGGUGAGCAACAUGAGCCAAUGUCUGGCAUGCAUCAUAACAUGGCCAUGGGAGAUGGGGGAGGGAUGACAGCUCAUGGAAUGGCAGGAACGGUCUGGAACCCUGUAGCCACCAUGCAACUUCAUAGCACCAAUCCAAAGGUGUGGGGAGCACGGAGCCAGUCAGUCAUGUGACACGAGGACACUUCUCCAUCCUUUCCUAUAGAGGGCGCUGUUCGUCACAGCCGCAGCAUCCACAAGAGAUAGUUAAGUUAAUUAAUUUUUCUUAGAUGUCCAGUAGCCAUAGAGGGCGACAUCAUGCUAUCUGGUUUGUUCACAGACAUAUAAAUGGAUGGACCGCCAGUCGUGCGCUUGAAACUGUGUUUGUCGACACUGCGCAUAACUGCACGAUGCGCGUUCAUUACGUCAACAUGCUUAAUACGAAACAUACAUUUAAAGUAUUUUGGUAAAGGCUGUAUUACUCAAAAGUUGCUUGAAAAUGUUGGGUACCGUAUUGUUUUUAUAAUCUAUAGAAAUCGUGAUUAGUUUACAAGGGAUUUGUUUACAUCAAAGAACUAACUUCAUCAUUUUUUGUUUUCAUGUUUGACUGGAAUUCGUCAACUGUGUGUAAAAACCCUAUAUACCGAAAAGUGAAUUUGCCCACAGUUUUGAUUUUAGUCGGGCGCUAGGCAAAUCACGAAAUGCUCAUGUAGUUUUGAAUGGGACCUAGCGGUCUAUGCAUUUAUAUGUCUGUGGGUUUGUUGCCUUACCUGC